AAGAAGUUUGGUUAAUCAAAGAGCACUCCUUUCCCCAUGGGGGACCUGUGUGCAAUGAAGACCACCACCUCCUUGGUCGUGUAUAUACCUUAUUGCUUGUAUGGGUUGCACUAAGAGUCCUUGGUGACAGCC
rnacentral:snoRNA from 1 species